UACGAAGGUGGCAAGCGUUGUUCGGAAUUACUGGGCGUAAAGCGUGCGCAGGCGGUUUUGUAAGCCAGAUGUGAAAGCCCCGGGCUCAACCUGGGAAUGGCAUUUGGGACUGCAAGGCUGGAGUUUGGCAGAGGAGACUGGAAUUCCUGGUGUAGCAGUGGAAAUGCGUAGAUAUCUGGAGGAACACCGGUGGCGAAGGCGGCGAUCCUGGACCGACACUGACGCUGAGGAGCGAAAGCCAGGGGAGCAAACGGG
rnacentral:rRNA from 1 species